rnacentral:rRNA from 1 species
GGAGGGGGCAAGCGUUAUUCGGAAUCAUUGGGCGUAAAGGGCAGGUAGGCGGCUUUGUAUGUCCUCUGUGAAAGCCCUCGGCUCAACCGAGGAAUUGCAGGGGAAACUACAGAGCUUGAGUUCGGGAGAGGGUAGCGGAAUUCCCAGUGUAGCGGUGAAAUGCGUAGAUAUUGGGAGGAACACCUGUGGCGAAGGCGGCUGCCUGGACCGAUACUGACGCUGAACUGCGAAAGCCAGGGGAGCGAACGGGGGAUUAGAUACCCCGGUAGUCCUGGCUGUAAACGAUGAGCACUUGGUGUGGCGGGUAUCGACCCCUGCCGUGCCGAAGCUAACGCAUUAAGUGCUCCGCCUGGGAGUACGGUCGCAAGGCUG